rnacentral:rRNA from 1 species
UACAGAGGUCUCGAGCGUUAGGCGGAAUCACUGGGCUUAAAGCGUGUGUAGGCGGGUCGUUAAGUGCCCUGUGAAAUCCCAUGGCUCAACCAUGGAACUGCUGGGCAUACUGGCGAUCUUGUGCCACCUAGGGGCGAGCGGAACAGAUGGUGGAGCGGUGAAAUGCGUAGAUAUCAUCUGGAACGCCAAUGGUGAAAACAGCUCGCUGGGGGUGUGCAGACGCUGAGACACGAAAGCCAGGGGAGCGAACGGG